GCCUGGGUGGCUCAGUUGGUUGAGUGUCUGACUUCAACUCAGGUCAUGAUCUCACAGUUCAUGAGUUCGAGCCCCGCGUCAGGCU
rnacentral:tRNA from 1 species